GACGAACGCUGGCGGCGUGCUUAACACAUGCAAGUCGAACGGAAAGGCCCUGCUUUUGUGGGGUGCUCGAGUGGCGAACGGGUGAGUAACACGUGAGUAACCUGCCCUUGACUUUGGGAUAACUUCAGGAAACUGGGGCUAAUACCGGAUAGGAGCUCCCGCUGCAUGGUGGGGGUUGGAAAGUUUCGGCGGUUGGGGAUGGACUCGCGGCUUAUCAGCUUGUUGGUGGGGUAGUGGCUUACCAAGGCUUUGACGGGUAGCCGGCCUGAGAGGGUGACCGGCCACAUGGGGACUGAGGUACGGCCCAAACUCCUACGGGAGGCAGCAGGGGGGAAUAUGGCACAAGGGGGGGAAGCCUGAUGCAGAAACGCCGCGUGGGGGAUGACGGCCUUCGGGUUGUAAACCGCUUUCGCCGGUGACGAAGCGGGGGUGACGGUAAUGGGUAAAGAAGCACCGGCUAACUACGG
rnacentral:rRNA from 1 species